rnacentral:rRNA from 1 species
CUUUGACAUCCCAGAGAAUUUUAGCAGAGAUGCUUUUAGUGCCUUUCGGGAACUCUGAGACAGGUGCUGCAUGGCUGUCGUCAGCUCGUGUUGUGAAAUGUUGGGUUAACGUCCGCAACGAGCGCAACCCUUAUCCUUUGUUGCCAGCACGUAAUGGUGGGAACUCAAAGGAGACUGCCGGUGAUAAACCGGAGGAAGGUGGGGAUGACGUCAAGUCAUCAUGGCCCUUACGAGUAGGGCUACACACGUGCUACAAUGGCGUAUACAAAGAGAAGCGACCUCGCGAGAGCAAGCGGACCUCAUAAAGUGCGUCGUAGUCCGGAUUGGAGUCUGCAACUCGACUCCAUGAAGUCGGAAUCGCUAGUAAUCGUAAAUCAGAAUGUUACGGUGAAUACGUUCCCGGGCCUUGUACACACCGCCCGUCACACCAUGGGAGUGGGUUGCAAAAGAAGUAGAUAGCUUAACCUUCGGGAGGGCGUUUACCACUUUGUGAUUCAUGACUGGGGUGGAAGUCGUAACAAGGUAAGCGUAGUGCU